rnacentral:pre_miRNA from 1 species
AAUAUGAUUGCUAGAUUGUAUGAUAAGAUUAUAUUUAACUUGUAAGAAAUUAUCAAACUGUUUUUCAAAGUAACUGUACCAUUUUUUAGUUCUACAGCAAU